GCCAGGCAUGGUGGCACAUGCCUGUGAUCCCAGCCAUUCAGGAGGGUGAGGCAGGAGGAUCAUUAGUUCAAAGCCAGCUUCAGCAAUUUAGCAAGGACCUGAGUAACUCAGUGAGACCCUGUCUCUA
rnacentral:sRNA from 1 species